AGAAGGCGGAGGAGCAGGGUCCUCACCUCACCUGGUCCCCCCAACUCACCUGGAUAACUUUCAAACCACCCUGAAAACCUAUGAAUCCGACCUGAGAUGUAAAGAGAGGACAGCCUGAUGCUACAGAGAGACGGGUUUUCGCUUCUAACAAGUCAAGGAAAUUGAGGCUUACUGAAGUAAGAUAAUGUGGCCAAGAUCAACAGCUGGACUUACAGUGCCAUGUUGAAUCGGAGUAGUGAGAACAAGCACCCUAACUUUAUUCCUGGCCUUAGAGGAAAAGCUUUCAACAUUUCACCACUGAGUAU